rnacentral:rRNA from 1 species
GAUGAACGCUGGCGGCGUGCCUAAUACAUGCAAGUCGAGCGAACAGACGAGGAGCUUGCUCCUCUGACGUUAGCGGCGGACGGGUGAGUAACACGUGGAUAACCUACCUAUAAGACUGGGAUAACUUCGAGAAACCGGAGCUAAUACCGGAUAAUAUAUUUAACCGCAUGGUUCAAUAGUGAAAGACGGUUUUGCUGUCACUUAUAGAUGGAUCCGCGCCGCAUUAGCUAGUUGGUAAGGUAACGGCUUACCAAGGCAACGAUGCGUAGCCGACCUGAGAGGGUGAUCGGCCACACUGGAACUGAGACACGGUCCAGACUCCUACGGGAGGCAGCAGUAGGGAAUCUUCCGCAAAGGGCGAAAGCCUGACGGAGCAACGCCGCGUGAGUGAUGAAGGUCUUCGGAUCGUAAAACUCUGUUAUUAGGGAAGAACAAAUGUGUAAGUAACUAUGCACGUCUUGACGGUACCUAAUCAGAAAGCCACGGCUAACUACGUG